ensembl:lincRNA
GAAGAACAUUUUCUGGAUUUGAAUGUGACAUAUUUCAUGAGCCUCUGAAUCUAUUUCCUGAGUCUAUGCAGAAGUCCACUUUUUUGUGAGACAUCAAUUAAAUACUCAUAAGUUUUGCAGCCUUAGUCCCAUUUGCAGCUCAUGCUGCCACUUCGUGGGGAGGAAAGGCCUUGGCAAAUGUCCACGUCCCCACACCAGGCAAGAAAAUCAAUGUUUGCAAAGAGCAUUGAGCACCAUCUCUAUUGGAUCAUGCCAGGACAAGUGGACUAUUCAGAACCACUACUGGAGCUCAAGUUGAGACAAAGAAAAAAAUGAGAAAAAUAUCAAGCAACUCCUCUCCCUGCUUCAGAAAUGACCAGCAGAACUCCACCUAACCACAGACCAGGUGUUUCCGGCUCACAUUCUUCUGCCUGACAGACCCCAACAUGGGAGCUCUGUGUCUUUCUGGUCACAACCAGAAUCUAGUGACUGAAAUCAGAAGAAUUUCACCUACUCCUAAGUGUGGGCAAGACCAGAAAAAAUGUAUAUCAAUCAUCAAGAGUCAAAAACUCGGCUUCAACAAUAUGUCGCUGGCUGGUGUGGAAGCCGACCCGUGUUUCCUCCCCCUUCCGAAUGCUGGGGAAGCAGCAAGGAGGUAUCAAGCAUUCUGCCUAAAACAUGUUUUCUCACCCCAGUGCUCUUGCCACUUCCAACGUCUUUAAAAAUAACAGCAAAAUGGCUCUGAAGUAGAUGGCAUUCAUGUGAGGGUUAUUUCUAGCUAUUCUGAGUCAUGGAAGAGGGAGGAAUUCAGAAAACCUGAAUUUACUGUAUUUGCUGUAGAUUUGUUCGUCAGCUGCGGAUGGAUCCUCCUCAAUACUCUAGGGACCGUGGCCCUUCAUAGAAUGAAGCCCUUAACCAUCUUCUGGAGUGUGGUCAAGAUUUAUCAGUUGCCAUCGAUCCCUGGAUCAGGAAGAUUCCUUGGAGAAGGGAAUGACUAUCCACUCCUGUAUUCUUGCUUGGAGAAUUCCGUGGACAGAGGGGCCUGGUGGGCUGCAGCCCAUGGGGUUGCAAACAGCUGGACACGACUGAACGAGUAACACUAACUAAUAACUGUUGGAGAAAAGGGACCAUUAUUGUGGGCUAGAUAUUUCCCAGCAGCUCCCCAAAAGCAGGGGUUACUUUUGGUAGUGAUUACUGAAGCCCUGUAGAGGGAGAGUGGGGCAAAAUGAGGUGGAAUGAUAGAUCAAGUAUCAUACAUCAGCCCAGAUACUUUAUUUAACACAGAAACCUCAGUACCAAAGCACUAGGUAGGAAGACUGCAUGGAAGGGAGAGAUUCUGAAGAUUCCAGAAGUGGAUUUCAUGGAAAUUUUGAAUAGAAAAAAAUUAUUUAUAUGUGGUUACACUGGGUCGUUGUUGCUGUGUGGACUUCCUCUAGCUGCGGCUAGUGGGGGCUGUUCUUCACUGUGGUGUGUGGGCUUCUCACUGCAGUGGCUUCUCUUAUUGCAGGGCAUGGGCUCUAUGGCACGUGGGCUCAGUAGUUGCAGCUUGUGGGCUCUAGAGCAUGGGUGAAGUAGCUGUGGCCCGUGGGCUUAGCUGCCUGCAGCAUGUGGGAUUCUAGUUCCCAGACAAAGGAUGGAACCCACGUCCCCUGCAUUGGCAGGUGGAUUCUUAACCACUGGACCACCAGGGAAGUCCCAGAAAUUUUUAUAUUUUUUAAAUUAUGCACAGAUCCUAAAGGACUUACUGAGUUACGUUUGACCUAAGAGCUGAUUAAAAUGUCUAAAUAAAUUUGACAUAUAAUUCUUAAUAGCAGAAGUCAAGUGUCCACUCCAGGCAGUUACUAACUAAACAGUCCACAGUUCCCUACACUUCCCUUCUCUGAGUUUGCCCUUCUCUCCUUCAUUUUCCACAAUCCAUAGCUUGUUCUUUAAAGUGCUCUCUUCCCAGCCCUCAGUGCUCCUUUCUUCCCACUUCUUGUGUUUCACAGAAUAAGAUACCCCUCAAUACAGAAAUAGUAAUGUUUAGAUAAUGGUGUGGUACUUUGUCAAUUUUACAACCUCUGCCUGCCCAAUGAAUGUCAAAGAUUCCCACUGUCUACUGGUGUCUGCUACCUCUGCAAAGGGUUUGAGGGGUGGAGGAAUAAAAAAGAACUUUUGACUCUGGACUGCGGUUAGAAUUUUUUAAAUUAAUUAACUUGUUUUUAAUUGGAGGAUGAUUGAUGAACAAUAUUGUGUUGGCUUCCACCAUGUAUCAACAUGAAUCAGCCAUAGAUAUACAUAUGUCCCCUCCCUCCUGAACCCUCCCUCCCACCUUCCACCCCACCCCUCUAGUUUAUCACUGAGCACCGAAUUUGAGCUCCCUGUGCCAUACAGUAAAUUUCACUGGCUAUCUAAUUUUACAUAUGACAGUGUAUAUGCUUCAGUGGUACUCUCUCAAUUCAUCCCACCCUCUCCUUCCCCUCCCGCUGUGUCCACAAGUCUGUUUUCUGUCUGCAUCUUCAUUGUUGCCUGCAAAUAGGUUUAUCAGUACCAUCCUUCUAGGUUCCAUAUAUAUGAGCUAAUAUAUAUUUGUCUUUCUGACUUGCUUCACUCUGUGUAACAGGUACUAGGUUCAUCCACCUUGUUUGAAUAGAGUCAAAUGCAUUCCAUUUUAUGGCUGAGUAAUACUCCAUUGUGUAUAUGUACCACAACUUCUUUAUUCUGCUGAUGGACAUCUAGGUUGCUUCUAUGUCCUAGCUAUUGUAAAUAGUGCUGUGAUGAAAAAUGGUAUGUGUGUGUCUUUUUUGCAGUUGUAAUUUAUUUAAUUUUCAACAUUUCUAUUAUGGUAAUGGCAAAUUUUCCUCCUUUUCCCCAAUAUUUUUACCUUACUCAAUGUGAACUGACAGUAUUGAAUUUGACAUUAUUACUGCUAUAAGAGAGUGUUUGUAGUCUUCAUGCUCUGGAUAUUUGUAGAGCAGAGUUUUUGUAUAUGAAUAUACCCUAAUCAGCUCUCAUUUUACCAAGCCAUAGAGGUUCUAGAAUGCUGCUCUGGACUGGAUAAUUAUGCAAAAAGGUCCAUGAGUAAUUAGGAUAAGUAUCCCACAAACAUAAUGUUCAUCAUAAAUAUUUUAUACGUUAAAAGAAUGUAGUUAACAUUUUUCUGGUUCUACACCAUUCCAUCUCUGUUAAAUAAUGUGUUUAAUGUUUUAAACCAUAGCUAAUAUUUAGGUUGUGGUCAACUAAAUUUUAAUUAUGAGUCCUACUACCAUGAACAGCUUUGUAUAUAGUUUUCUGAAUUUAAGAUUGAGGUGGUAUUCCAGAAGAAAAAGUUUUUUCUAAAAAGAAGUUCUCUCAACACGUAGUCUUUUUAUCACUUCCUUUUGUUGAUUUUUUAAAAACCUACAUAAUUUUUGGUGUUUUGUAAUUAAAAAUAAUCCAACUAUUAUUUCUUCUUUAUUAUACCAAAGAAUACUAUGAACUUAUCCCUACUGUCUUUUCUAUUUGUGUGUUAUAUCACAAUUUAGUAGAACAUGUUGGUGAAAUUAAAAUUUUUGUUCAUUCAAUUCAAAGUGUAUUCUUUUAAUUGAAAAUUAGAUAAUAUUGCAUUUUAUUAGUUAUUCAGUUUUGUCUGACUCUUUGCAACCCCAUGGACUGCAGGACGCCAGGCUUCCCUGUCCCUCACCAUCUCCCGGAGUUUGCCCAAGUUCAUGUACAUUGCGUCGGUGAUGUUAUCCAGCCAUCUCAUCCUGUGACUCCCUGUUCUCCUUCUGUCCUCAAUCUUUCCCAGCAUCAGGGACUUUUCCAGUGAGUCGACUGUUCAUGUCAGGUGACCAAAAUAUUGGAGCUUCAUCAGUCCUUCUAACGAGUAUUUAGGGUUGACUUCCCUUAAGAUUGACUGGUUUGAUCUCUUUGCUGUCCAAGGGACUCUCAGGAGUCUUCUCUAGCACCACAGUUCGAAGGCAUCAAUUCUUUCUUGUUCUGCCUUCUUUACGGUCCAGCUCUCACAACUGUAUGUAACCACUGGGAAGACCAUAACCUUCAGUAUAUGGAGCUUUGUUGGCAGAGUAAUGUCUCUGCUUUUCAACCCAGCCGUCUAGGUUUGUCAUCGCUUUCCUGCCAAGAAGCAAUUGUCUUUUGAUUUCAUGGCUGCAGUCACCAUCCACAGUGAUUUUAGAGCUCAUGAAGAGGAAAUCUGUAACUGCUUCCACUUUUUCCCCUUCUGUUUGCCAUGCAGAAAUGGGGCUGGAUGCCAUGAUGUCAGUUUUUUUCACUAUUUAGUUUUAAGCUGGUUUUUUCACUCUCCUCCUUCACUCUCAUCAAGGGACUCUCUAAUUCCUCUCUGCUUUCUGCCAUUAGAGUGGUAUCUUCUGCAUAUCUGAGGUUGUUGAUGUUUCUACUGCCUAUCUUGAUUCCAGCUUGUAACUCAUCUAGCUCCACAUUUCUCGUGGGUUAACCAAACAGGGUGACAGCAGACAGCCCUGCCAUACUCCUUUCUCAAUCCUGAACCAAUCAAUUGUUCCAUACAGGGUUCUAACUGCUGCUUCUUGACCCACAUAUAGGUUUCUCAGGAGAUAGGUAAGAUGGUCUGGAAUUCCCAUCUCUUUGAGGGCUUUCCACAGUUUGUCAUGAUCCACACAAAGGCUUUAGUGUAGAUGAUGAAACAAAGGUAGAUAUUUUUCUAGAAUUCCCCUGCUUUCUCUAUGAUCCAGCAAAUGUUGGGUAUUUCAAGUUUAAUAGUAAAAUGCCUUAAUUUGAAUAAACAAACUGAAUUAUAUGAUUGCUUUGUUGAAUACAUUUUAUGAACUGCUAACAAACUAAUAUGUGUUAUAUUAAAUUUUUCCCAAAAAAGAUAAGUGAUUUCAAAAUAUAAUGGGAAAUUCCCUGGUGGUCCAGAAGUUAGGACUCCAUGCUUUCAUUGUGGAGUGCCUGGGUUUGACCCCUGUUCUGAGAACUAAGAUCCUACAAGCCAUGUGCCAUAGUCAGAAAAACAAAACCAAAACCAAAAUAUAAAUCAAUUUGUGUAAAGAUAAAGAUUUUAUUUCAAAUUAUCUAUAACCUGAAUUAUUAUCCUUACUUUAAUUUUUUGACACUGAUAAACAUUUCUAAUAAAGAUGCUUUGAUCCC